UAUCCUGUCUGAAUAUGGGGGGACCAUCCUCCAAGGCUAAAUACUCCUGACUGACCGAUAGUGAACCAGUACCGUGAGGGAAAGGCGAAAAGAACCCCGGCGAGGGGAGUGAAAAAGAACCUGAAACCGUGUACGUACAAGCAGUGGGAGCACGCUUAGGCGUGUGACUGCGUACCUUUUGUAUAAUGGGUCAGCGACUUAUAUUCUGUAGCAAGGUUAACCGAAUAGGGGAGCCGAAGGGAAACCGAGUCUUAACUGGGCGUUAAGUUGCAGGGUAUAGACCCGAAACCCGGUGAUCUAGCCAUGGGCAGGUUGAAGGUUGGGUAACACUAACUGGAGGACCGAACCGACUAAUGUUGAAAAAUUAGCGGAUGACUUGUGGCUGGGGGUGAAAGGCCAAUCAAACCGGGAGAUAGCUGGUUCUCCCCGAAAGCUAUUUAGGUAGCGCCUCGUGAAUUCAUCUCCGGGGGUAGAGCACUGUUUCGGCAAGGGGGUCAUCCCGACUUACCAACCCGAUGCAAACUACGAAUACCGGAGAAUGUUAUCACGGGAGACACACGGCGGGUGCUAACGUCCGUCGUGAAGAGGGAAACAACCCAGACCGCCAGCUAAGGUCCCAAAGUCGUGGUUAAGUGGGAAACGAUGUGGGAAGGCCCAGACAGCCAGGAUGUUGGCUUAGAAGCAGCCAUCAUUUAAAGAAAGCGUAAUAGCUCACUGGUCGAGUCGGCCUGCGCGGAAGAUGUAACGGGGCUAAACCAUGCACCGAAGCUGCGGCAGCGACGCUGAUGCGUUGUUGGGUAGGGGAGCGUUCUGUAAGCCUGCGAAGGUGUGCUGUGAGGCAUGCUGGAGGUAUCAGAAGUGCGAAUGCUGACAUAAGUAACGAUAAAGCGGGUGAAAAGCCCGCUCGCCGGAAGACCAAGGGUUCCUGUCCAACGUUAAUCGGGGCAGGGUGAGUCGACCCCUAAGGCGAGGCCGAAAGGCGUAGUCGAUGGGAAACAGGUUAAUAUUCCUGUACUUGGUGUUACUGCGAAGGGGGGACGGAGAAGGCUAUGUUGGCCGGGCGACGGUUGUCCCGGUUUAAGCGUGUAGGCUGGUUUUCCAGGCAAAUCCGGAAAAUCAAGGCUGAGGCGUGAUGACGAGGCACUACGGUGCUGAAGCAACAAAUGCCCUGCUUCCAGGAAAAGCCUCUAAGCAUCAGGUAACAUCAAAUCGUACCCCAAACCGACACAGGUGGUCAGGUAGAGAAUACCAAGGCGCUUGAGAGAACUCGGGUGAAGGAACUAGGCAAAAUGGUGCCGUAACUUCGGGAGAAGGCACGCUGAUAUGUAGGUGAAGUCCCUCGCGGAUGGAGCUGAAAUCAGUCGAAGAUACCAGCUGGCUGCAACUGUUUAUUAAAAACACAGCACUGUGCAAACACGAAAGUGGACGUAUACGGUGUGACGCCUGCCCGGUGC
rnacentral:rRNA from 1 species